GUGUGUGGGUGGGGUGGCGGGGGGGGGGGUUAUACUUAUACACAUUCUAUAUAUGUAGAAUUCAGAUACAUGGCUAUCCUAGCUGACAGUGCUAUGUUCAAUAGAAAACACUUGUGUAGGGUGAGAGUUGGUGUGAAGGUAACAAUGGGCUGUGAACAAAACAGUCAGUUCAGGAACAGUAUUGUGGCCCAGAGAGACUAUAGGCUUCACCAAGACAACAGGGUGUUUGUUAAUGGGUCUGUGUGCUGGUAGAAUGACUGUUGAAUGAGGACCUCCUCAGCCCACGAGGACAACAUGUAUGAGGCCUGGCUUUUAUCCAAAUCCUCUAUGAAGCAUCAUCCUGAUAAAUAUAGAAGUGUCUGUUAAGGUCAAGCUCCCAGGAUGUCAUGGAAAUAAGUCGAUUGAUAGAGGACUACCUUAUCUGUCCAGCACUACAUUAUCUGCACAACAACCUCAUGCUUUUUCGUAGUGUUGAAUGAAUUGCCAAUGCAGUUUGUGGAAUUGAUCACUAGAUGGCAGUUCAACUCCCCAGUAUGCAGUGGUACUACAGCACAGAGAUCAUCAGGGUGGCAUGUCUUCAGUUAUCAAAUAGCUCUGUUUGACUGUUGAUUUGAUGCCUACACAAAGACUUGAUCACAUGUAUCGAGAGCAUUCUGACAGAACUGUGCCUCAGUGUGGUUUAGUGGUCGCUCCAUAGCCGACCAGAAGGCCCUGCUACAGGCGGUGAAAACCCCCCAGCACAUCACGGGUACCCAGCUUCCUGCCAUCGUAGACCUCCAGCACAUCACGGGUACCCUGCUUCCUGCCAUCGUAGACCUCCAGCACAUCACGGGUACCCAGCUUCCUGCCAUCGUAGACCUCCAGCACAUCACUGGUACCCAGCUCCCAGCCAUCGUAGACCUCCAGCACAUCACGGGUACCCAGCUUCCUGCAAUCGUAGACCUCCAGCACAUCACGGGUACCCAGCUUCCUGCCAUCGUAGACCUCCAGCACAUCACGGGUACCCAGCUUCCUGCCAUCGUAGACCUCCAGCACAUCACGGGUACCCAGCUUCCUGCCAUCGUAGACCUCCAGCACAUCACGGGUACCCAGCUUCCUGCCAUCGUAGACCUCCAGCACAUCACGGGUACCCAGUUUCCUGCCAUCAUAGACCCCCAACACAUCACGGGUACCCAGCUUCCUGCCAUCGUAGACCUCCAGAGCAACCGUUUCUGCCAGGGCGCACAGGAUCAUCAGGGACCCUUCACAUCCAUGCCACAAACUGUUUGCCCUCCUACCAUCAGGCAGGUGGUACAGGUCUCUUAGGUCCCACACCAGCUGGCCCCGCCUCUCAGGACCUUGUUGCACUACUCCCUUGUACUACUCUGACACUGCCUUGCAAAGUCUGAUAAUGGAGGUUUUCAGUUGUUGCAGGUACGUGUCUACCUCAGGAACAUCACCGCUUCUGUCCCUGCAUUUCAGUGGCACAUUCAAUUUGCCUCUUUGCAUAUUUAGAAUUGCCACCGUGCCUGCAUUUUUAUUUAAUGUUUUUUUUUUUUCACUUGUAACAUCCACUAUACUUAAUACUUGUAAAUGUUCUGCCCUCCUCUAUUUGCCUUAAUUGCUCAUUUAGUAUGGCCAUUUGCACUGCAUUUUCCUUCAUUGCACAUCUGAACCUUCCACUUGUAAUAUACAAUACAUAUACUUUAUACUUGUAAUUACUUGUACAUUUGCUCCUGUAUUUGUACUUCUGGUUAGAUGCUAACUGCAUUUCGUUGUACUGUACUUGUACUUUUCAAUGCCAAUGAAGUUGAAUAUAAUCAAAUUUUGAUCUUAUAUUGUUGCUCCAAUGAUUCUGCCGUAGCAACUAGCUACACAGCCUAAUGCCAUUUCCUGCUCCUCCCGUCUCCCCUCUCAUCUGUCUGCAUUAGAGGGACCCUUUUAAGGCCUAAUGGCUUCUGAUUCACACUGCUGAUAGGAC
ensembl:lncRNA